rnacentral:rRNA from 1 species
GAUGAACGCUGGCGGCGUGCCUAAUACAUGCAAGUCGAGCGAACAGACGAGGAGCUUGCUCCUCUGACGUUAGCGGCGGACGGGUGAGUAACACGUGGAUAACCUACCUAUAAGACUGGGAUAACUUCGGGAAACCGGAGCUAAUACCGGAUAAUAUAUUGAACCGCAUGGUUCAAUAGUGAAAGACGGUUUUGCUGUCACUUAUAGAUGGAUCCGCGCCGCAUUGGCUAGUUGGUAAGGUAACGGCUUACCAAGGCGACGAUGCGUAGCCGACCUGAGAGGGUGAUCGGCCACACUGGAACUGAGACACGGUCCAGACUCCUACGGGAGGCAGCAGUAGGGAAUCUUCCGCAAUGGGCGAAAGCCUGACGGAGCAACGCCGCGUGAGUGAAGAAGGUCUUCGGAUCGUAAAACUCUGUUAUUAGGGAAGAACAAAUGUGUAAGUAACUAUGCACGUCUUGACGGUACCUAAUCAGAAAGCCACGGCUAACUACGUG